UACGAAGGGGGCUAGCGUGCUCGGAAUCACUGGGCGUAAAGCGCACGUAGGCGGCUUUCUAAGUCAGGGGUGAAAUCCUGGAGCUCAACUCCAGAACUGCCUUUGAUACUGGAGAGCUUGAGUCCGGAAGAGGUGAGUGGAACUCCGAGUGUAGAGGUGAAAUUCGUAGAUAUUCGGAAGAACACCAGUGGCGAAGGCGGCUCACUGGUCCGGUACUGACGCUGAUGUGCGAAAGCGUGGGGAGCAAACAGG
rnacentral:rRNA from 1 species